rnacentral:rRNA from 1 species
AGCGAACGCUGGCGGCAGGCUUAAUACAUGCAAGUCGAGCGCCUGUAGCAAUACAGGAGCGGCAGACGGGAGAGUAACACGUGGGAACAUGCCCUUCAGUUCGGAACAACCAAGGGAAACUUUGGCUAAUACCGGAUACGCCCUUACGGGGAAAGAUUUAUCGCUGAAGGAUUGGCCCGCGUCUGAUUAGCUAGUUGGUGAGGUAAUGGCUCACCAAGGCGACGAUCAGUAGCUGGUCUGAGAGGAUGAUCAGCCUCAUUGGGACUGAGACACGGCCCAAACUCCUACGGGAGGCAGCAGUAGGGAAUAUUGGACAAUGGGGGGCAACCCUGAUCCAGCCAUGCCGCGUGAGUGAUGAAGGCCUUAGGGUUGUAAAGCUCUUUCGGCGGGGAAGAUAAUGACGGUACCCGCAUAAGAAGCCCCGGCUAACUUCGUGCCAGCAGCCGCAGUAAAAC